rnacentral:rRNA from 1 species
CCUACGGGUGGCAGCAGUGAGGAAUAUUGGUCAAUGGGCGCGAGCCUGAACCAGCCAAGUCGCGUGAGGGAAGACGGUCCUAUGGAUUGUAAACCUCUUUUGUCGGGGAGCAAAAGACGCCACGCGUGGCGUUCAGAGAGUCCCCGAAGAAAAAGCAUCGGCUAACUCCGUGCCAGCAGCCGCGGUAAUACGGGGGAUGCGAGCGUUAUCCGGAUUUAUUGGGUUUAAAGGGUGCGCAGGCGGAAGAUCAAGUCAGCGGUAAAAUUGAGGGGCUCAACCUCUUCGAGCCGUUGAAACUGGUUGUCUUGAGUGCACGAGAGGUAUGCGGAAUGCGUGGUGUAGCGGUGAAAUGCAUAGAUAUCACGCAGAACUCCGAUUGCGAAGGCAGCAUACCGGCGCUCAACUGACGCUCAUGCACGAAAGUGUGGGUAUCGAACAGGAUUAGAUACCCCUGUAGUC